rnacentral:lncRNA from 1 species
ACAAUUGAGAAUUCCCAUUACUUUGUCACUCCCAUUUGAUUGAUGGAUGCGAAUCCAUUCAAUGCAUGCAAGGGAACGUUUUCCUUAAAAAGCAUGCAUGCGUAGGCAAUGAGGCCAAUAACUUAUUUAUAGACCGUUUCAAAACUUGUAUUCUUGCUCCCAAUGUUUAAACAUAGAAAUUUGACAUUUUUAACGUUCUAACGACCCAAGAUAGAUUACCGGUUGGAG